AGAAGUGAGGCACUUAGGGAGGGCAGGGUGUGCCAAAGCAUGUGUGCAUGUGGAAAGAAAUGACCUCUGGGGAUCUCUUCUGAAGAUAUUAAAUAUUAUAUUUCAUAUUUUACAUUUUGUGCUGUAGACAUUAAGUUUUGUGGUAAGAAAAUUAAAUAUUAGUCUGAUGGUCUUUUCAGGAUAUUUUGGGAGUAGGUAGAGGCUGGUAUCUGGGGAGACUGAGAAAGCCACUAGAGUCUGGAAAUUAGGAUAAUAACAUCGACCUGAGUAGGAGGAUUGCACAAGACAAAAGGCUACAGUAAAUAUGGGGAUAGGAAGAAACUUAUGCGGUAACUUACUUUAAGUAAAUGCUUUAAAACCCGUGAGUUUGGAAAAGAUCUAGCGGUUAAAUGAGGUGACCUGGGCUGAGUUAUAAAGUGUAGGGGAACUAUUGAUUAUUAGGAGUGAUUUUUUUCAUUUUUAUUUUUACUAAUACAUGUUCACAGUACAUAAUGAUUAUAUUUAUUGUAGGGAGUUGGUACAUGUAUUUAAUACACCUUAGUUGUUUUUACUUCCCACUCUCUCCCCUUCCUUCUCCCCAAGAGAAGCCAAGUGAUAGUUAAGUUUGUGUACCUGAUGUAUUUCACCUAACAUUACUGUCUCAAGGUGUAUCAGUUUUCCUACAAAAGACUCCAAUUUAUUUUCCUUUCUGGCAGAAACACUCCAUUGUAUAUAACUACUGUGUUUUCUUUAAUAAUUUAUAUGUUGAUAGACAUAUAGGCCACUUCCAAGAUUUGUUUGUUUGUUUCUUGUUGUGAUGCUAUAAACAUGGAUAUGCAUGUAUCACUGUAAUAUGACAUCUUUAUUUGUGGAUAAUUAGAAGGGGAAUAGCUGCAUUGAAUGGGAUUUCUAUUUUUAGUUUUUAAAGAAACCUGUAAACUGAUUUUCAUAGUUGUUGUACUAGUUUAUAUCCCCACAAACAAUAUAGAAGAUUAGCUCAGUGGCAUAAGCGCCUGCCUUGCAAGCAGGCAGUCGUGAGUUUGAUCCCCGGUACCUAUAAAAAGACAAAAGAAAAAAAAAAAAAAAGAAGGCUUCAUUUUUCCUUAUGGUUUCACCAGCAUUUGUUAUUAUUUGAUUUCUUGAUGAUAGAUACUCUUUCUGGGAUAAAAUGGAAUCUCAGUGUAAUUUUAUUUUAUUUUUUUUAUUUAAAGAAAAGGAAACAAAAAGAUACAUGGAGAUAAAAAAAGGUAGAAAUAAUACAAAAUUACAGAAGAACAAACGGUAAGAAAUUGCUGGUUGAUAAGUUACAUAUUGUCAUCUUAGAAAUAGCUGUUCAGGUUAUAGAAUUAAAGUAUUUAGAAUGACAUUCAAAAAGUGACACUACAAACAGUUCUGCUCAAUGAUCGAACAAAAACUCAGUAAUAUGGUUAUCAGUCCUACACAUUUGUUUUUCAUCUCAAAGAGGGUAAGAUUAAACAUAUCAAAACAGAAAAUAGUUAAAAAAACAAUUUAAAGAAAUACAGAUUUCAAAGCAAGUCCACUGGAGAUCUUCACUGUCUAUCUAACUGUCUCUAGUUUCUUACAAAUAGUUGUCCCCAUCUUCACCCACUUUAUAUACUUAUUGCAUAUUAUAGAACUAAUCAAAUCAUUACAGGAUGAUAAAGGCUUUUUAGGUCUUCAAGAUCUAACAUUAGGGAAGACAAUAAUAACUAUCAUCGCAUCUCUCAUUCUCUUCGUGAUAGCUGUCCCCAUCUCUACAUAUGCUGAAAUUGGACUCAAGAGACCAGACCAAUGUCAUUCUAAUCAGCGAACAAUAGUAUUGCUAGAAUUUAUAUCAUAAUGCUACAAAAUUUGCCUCAGGUUUCUUAGCAUCUCUUCUUCAGAGUAUCUGUUCAUUACAUCUUGCAUUAUAUAAUCUGUUCUCAGUGUAGUUUUAAUUUGCAUUUCUCUAUUGGCCAUUAGCAUUGACCUUUUUUUCAUAUAUUUACAUAUAUUUAUUGUCCAUUUGUACUUCUGUGAAGUGUCUAUUCAAUUCAGUUGUCCAUUUUAUGACAGUGUUUUAUUAGGGGGGGUCUGAGAUAGCUCAGACCUUAGAAUAAAAUCCAAGGAAGCAAGAAAUUUGGGAGCAAAGGCUUUAUUUCAAGCCUGGUGAUGCAGCCUCAUCAGGAUCGACCCAGAGACUGUGCGCCUGACAGACUAAGGGAGGGAUAUUUAAAGCUAAAAAACCCGCAAAGCUGUAAAGCUGUUGACUUAGUUCUGAUAACAUCUGGAGCUCUUGGUGCAUUCCGCUACUUCCACCCUGUGGUUAAACAUUAUCUCGGAAUAGCACACCUGCAAUAACAUGCGGAAAAGGGGGAGGGGAGUUAAUUAUCUUGGAACAGCUCACUAGCAAUAACAUGCAGAAAGGAGGUAGGGAAGUUACAAGAAGCUGAAACUUAAGCUUUUACAAGAAUUAGAAACUUAACCCUAUCGAGACGGCGCAUACAGAACAAGACGGAGGCACAUUGGUUAGAGCUAAGCCAUAACAGGGUCUAAUUUUCUUUUGAGUUCUUUUUAUAUUCUAGAUAUUAGUCCUCUGAGGAAUAGCUGGCAUUUUCUCCCCAUUCUGAAGUUGUCUGUUCACUCUAUUAGUUUUUUCCUUUGCUGUAACAGAAGCUUUUAAAUUUGAUGUAAUCCCAUUUGUUGAUUCUUGAUGUUGUUUAUUGUGCAAUUGGGGUUCUGUUCAGAAUGUCUUUGCUUAUUUUAUACCUAUUAUACCUAUUUUAUGUUCCAGUAGGUUAAGUGUUUUCUGUUUUAAUAUUUAGACCUUUGAUCGAUUUUAAGUUUAGUAAAUCGGGGAAGAUAAGAGUUUAAGUUCAAUUUUGUAUAUGUGAAUAGCCAGUUGUUCCAGCACCACUUAUCAGAGAGGCUAUUUUCCCUGCCAGCAUUUGUUUUUGACCUCUUUGUCAGAUGGCAAAUGUGCCUGGGGUUGUUUCUGCAUCCUCUAUUCUGCUCCACUGAUUCACAGGCCUGUUUUUGUUCCAGUUCCGUGCUGUUGUCACUGUAGCUUUGCAGUGUAACUUGGAGUCUGGGAUUGUGAUGCCUCUGGCUUUGCUGUUGUAGCCCAGAAUUGCUUUUGCCUUGCCGGGUCUCCUCUGCUUUCAUUAUGAAUUUUACAAUUGAUUUCUUUAGUUGUAUGAAUAUUUUAAUUGGGAUUUCCUUAAAUCUAUACAUCAGUUUUGGAAGCAUGACCAUUUUGGCAGUAUUGGCUCUGCCUAGCUAGGAACAGAUAUAUCUUUCCAUUUUCUGAUGUCCUCUUGGGUCUUCUUUUAGUAUAGUACCGUUGGGAAUACUACAGUUUUCAUUAUUACCAAAUGUUACCACUUUCCUUAGAUUAAUUCCUAAAUAUGUACUUUUUUCUUGAAGUUAUUGUGAAUGAUAUUAUUUUCCUACUUAUUUCUGAGUAGGUUUAUUAUUGAUGUACAAGUACACUAUUGAUUUUUUUUUAUCCUAACAAGUAAAGUGGGGUUUUUUUUUGUUUGUUUGUUUUUUGGUCUUUUUGAGACAGUCUCACUAUGUAGGCUGGCUUUGAGCUCACUUUGUAGCCCAGGCUGGUCUUGAAUUUGCAAUGAUCCUCCUGAGUCAGCCUGGAGGGCUGGGAUGACAGGUGUGCACAAAGAAGUAAAGUAUUGAUUAAAGGAAUGAUUAUCUUGUAGAUAUAAAUCCUUCAGUUUGUAGAUUCAUGUUUUUCAUGACCUGAGGCAAAGUGAUCUCAAGGAUUGAAAGAACAAAAUAGAAGAUUAAGUAAAAUCUUUUGAGGAGGUAUUCUUUUAUUCAUGGUCUCUUUUUGGCAGGGGAGAUAAAUGAAGGAGUGCUCAGAAUACUAGCAUAUGGGGCACUGAGGGGCAGAGUGGAUUCCCAAGGCAAUGCAAGCCAUCUUGUAUUUAGUGUUGUGGUUCUUUUGUUUUAUUUUGUUUUGAGACAGUGUCUCACGGUGUAGCCCAGGCUGGCAUGAAACUCCCAGAAAUCCUCCUGUUUCAGCCUCCUGGGUGCUGGUAUUAUAGGCAUGCACCACUGAUAUAGGAAAUUAUAUAGGAUCUCCAAAUGAUAUAGGAAUGAGAUAUUAUAAAUUUCAGCCUGCUGGAUGUCCAAUGCACUGAGUUCAUGUUCCUGAAAAUCAGAGAAUGAAUUCCAAGGAAGAAAAGAGGUUUAAGAGUAGGAAGUAUUUCUUGUAGGGGAGACAUACAGUUCUUAGAGAGGUAGGAGGGGUCUUGAGUAGGUUGCAGAAGACUCCAUUUCUCGGGGAAGUUUUCGAGAGCACAAUCACAUGGGUUCAUUAUGGGCUAAAGCUUUGAUCAACCAAUAAGAUUAUUAGUAUAGCCACUUAGGUAAUAUUGAUCCAAUGGGGAAGCAAAUCAUGUAGCAAAGUACACAUGGAAGGAACAAAGAAUUUUUCAGGAAGAAAUGAAUCUGAGAGUCUUGGUCACCCAUGCAAGUGACUGAUGUCUAUCUAGACUUUAUUAGACCAAGUGUUACCACUUGUCUUAGGCUUGGUCAUUUCAUCUUUAUCUUGACAAUCUGGCUUCCAACAGAUACACCUCUGCCCACUGCUGUAGGGAGUUUUUGUUUUCUCCAGCUACUCUCUCCAGGGUCCAUCCCUAUCUGACUAUCAUAUUUCUACCUAACUCAGUUGUCUAUAAUACCACCACACUUGAUUUAGUGGCUUCAUGUUUUUUAAUCCACUGGACUCUUGUUCUUACUAUGAAGGUCUCAUUGUUGUAAAUAGAAUUAAAGGGUUAUCAAAAUACAAGUUUUAUUUAUUCAAAGAAUACACAAGAAGUGCAAAUUCAGGAAUAGACCACAUCCAGUUACUCAUGUGUGAAAGGUGACUGAAUCUUGAGCCAGCUGCUUCACAGAGACGACAUUGUUCACUCAGGGUUCCCUCCUGGAUCCCAGGGCAGAGAGAUUUGGAUAAAUGAACUAAUGUCUGUAGAUCUUCCUUACAACCUUAGACCUCUCGGAGUCAAAAACAGGAAGAAACCGUUAUGAUCUCAAAUUACUGGAGAAAUGAUGGUGAUUUGAGAACAUAAAAUUUAGUAAAUAUUUCAGAAAAAAAAUUAGGAGGUGGAUAUUGACUAAGUGUAGCUUAGAAUGGCAAAAAGGCCAAUGGAAAAUGCCCAAUAGCAGCUGCAGAUGGGAUCCAAAGUUUGGCUAAGAGAGAAGGAAAAACUAAGAGCAGCUAUAUUUACAAUUUGUACAUACACAUUUUGGGUAAUUGUCUGCACAGAGUGGAUAAAUUUAGCCAUAAGAAAGACAGAGAGAGAGAGAGAGAGAGAGAGAGAGAGAGAGAGAGAGAGUCAUUUCACCUAUUUGAGGUGUUCCUGAGUUUGGCAGAGGCAGAAAUAAGACCCACAGCAAAGAGCAGCAGCAGGAGCGGAUUACAAAGAUGAUGCGAGAGCAAUGGAGAAAGAGCAAGAAGUGCCAAGCCUGGUGAUAACGUGGAACCCACGGAGAGAGUUUAGUGGAAUACAAGGCAGCUAAUUGUGACAAAUAUUGCAGAAGUAUAACCAUAUGAUCUAAAAUUACUGGAGAUAUUACCAUAAUGCUGUUUGGAUUUUAUAAGCAGGUCAUGGGUUACCUUGGAUUUUCAGAACAGACAUGGAAACUGUACUUCACGGGGUUCAGGUAAAUGGGGAGGAAAUGGAGGUAUGAAAUCCAGUAAGCAGCCCUAAGAAUUUGGUAUGAGAAGAAAAGAGAAGUAGCAUUCUAGUUUUUAUUCUAACAUCGUCCUAUCUCUGGCUUUGGAACAAAUAGGGCUCCUGGAAGAACUGGGUUUUGAAUGAAGGAUUUAAAGGUGAGGAGAAGGACAGAAUGGUAAUGUCUCGGCCAUAAAGGAGGCAAGUUCAAGCCACUAAAUAAUGGCACAUUUUAAAUUAAUCUUUACUAGAAUGGUAAAACAGAGAGAGGGGAUCUGAAGGAGUAAAUUUGAUUAUAGCAAAUUAAAUGACAUGAAAAGAUGAACAACUUUUAAAGAAGUGAUGAUGAGCUAUUAUCAUGCUUUGUCUUUUUAGGCAUUUUGAAGCUUGUGCAUUGAAAAUUAGGAAAAGAUUUUGGAAUAAUUUUUGAGUCUCGCUGUGUGAACUUGGCCAACUUAUUUUUUUUUUUUUUUUUUGUCUUUUUACUUUUUAUUGGUACCAGGGAUCGAACUCACGACUGCCUGCUUGCAAGGCAGGCACUUAUGCCGCUGAGCUAAAUCCCCAGCCCCUGGCCAAGUCAUUUAAUCUUGCUAAGCUUGAGUAUUCUCAUCUUGAAAACACAGGGUAAUAUCAUUUGCCUGAUAAGAGUGUUGAGAAGCAUAAGUAAGAUUAUAUGUGUAACAUAUUUACUUCGUGUUACCAUAUAAUUGACACUUGGUGUUAACAACAAUUCUUCAUUUAUUUUGGUAAAUCUUUUUAUUGAUGUAUGGCAUGCAAAAAGCUGUACAUAUUUAGCAUAUUCAACUUAAUGAGUUUGGUGGUAAGUACUGUAUACACCUAUGAAACCAUCUCCACAGUCAAUGCCAUAUACUUUUCUGUCCCAUCUAGUUUCCUCUCUUUAGUUUCUUCUCUUCCUUUCCUUCUUUUCUUUUUCUUCCUUCCUUCCUUCCUUCCUUCCUUCCUUCCCCUCUCCCUCCCUCCCUCUCUCCUUUCCUUCCAUCCAUCUUUUCUCCAUUGUGUGAGACAACACACUUACUGCCUAAGAGCUAUACUCUUACCAAGUUUUUAAGUGUAUAAUGCAAUAUUGUUAACUGUAGGCUCUAUGAUGUAAAGUAGAUAUCUACAGUAUUUCUCAUUUUGAAAGUGUUGGGGUACCUCAGACUUGAUUUAGAGUUAAUGUUCCAGCACUCCUGGCUUCCUCUGCCUUACUUACAGUGCCUAUUGAAGAAUAUUGUAGCCAAACUGCUUUUCCACCUGUUUGUUGUAUGAUCUUGCUUAACUUUUUGAGACAGUUUUCUUAUCUGUAUAAAAGGGAUGCUAGUAGUACUCAUUUCAUGGUGCUAUUAUUUUAAAUGAGUUAAUAUGGAAGUGUUUGAAACAGUGCUUGCCACCCAGGAACUGAAAUGCUAACAUUUGCCAAAUGCCUAAAAAUGAUUUGCCUCUGUGUUUCUCUUCUUUCUAAAAUCAGGGCACCCAACCCUCUCCUACACUCAUCCAGGCAAGAAGACACUGCCACAUCUGAUGCCUUGUUAAGGAAAUGAAGGAUUCGCUGGGAAGUCCAGAGAGGUAAAAUCCAUUGGUGAAACCAGUGCUGGGAAGACAGAAUCAUGUGUUUGGGAAGGAUUAGCCAAUGCCCCUCUGUUGCUUCCUGGAUUGCCACUGUUUGUAACUGGAGUUUACACAGCAGAACUUCCAUCCACUUACCUAAAGAUUUGAAAGUUUGCUACCUUCAAAUUCAGAUUUUUAGAACCUUUUUGCCUCUUUCCAACUCAGACAAUUUUUUUCCCCUGUUGGUCUUAUAUUCUUGCUAAGUUAUGACUUUGAAAAUAAAACACAAGACUAAAUCAAAGCUAUGUAAGAAUGUCUAGUGGAAGAUUAGGUCAUUAAAAAAAAAGUGCAUGCUUUUACCACUUUGAGGAUGUGUUCAUAACAUUGACAAAGUGGUGCCAUUGCUCCACUGAUUACUCUUCCUUCAUGACUUAAUUAAUGUUAAUCCAUCUUCUCUUUACCUUGGGAAAUGGACCUUUCCACAGUCUGAAUAUGAAAAGCAACUCCUGGCUAGUAUCAGAUCUCCAGGGCUCCUGUGCCUUCCUCUGGCAGUUGGACCUUUGACUCUGAACCACUUAAAUGAUGCAGCCUUGCUUUGCAUUCCCACAGACACCCUAAAGUGAAGCAGGAAAUGCUACAUCAUAAAGCAAGUGGGUUUCCUGAGUUACAGAGGAAUGGCAACUACCAGAGCGAGUCUCCAAUCUGCCAUGAGCAGGCAGUUUCCUGGAAAGAAAACAAGGUUGACAUUUGAAUAACACUGCUUAGGGGCUAAGCUGAUUCUGUGUUAGUUUCAGGCUUCUUUGUCUUUGUGUGUGUGUGGUACUUUGUAAUCAAAUUUCUGUGUAAUGCCCCAGUGUUGCUCCUGUGGGUUAAUAGCCUCCUUGCUCUGGGCUUGUGGCUUUCUAGAAGAGUCACAACUGUACUCUUUUCUAUUUUUCCUCACUAGAAUAACAAAAGAAAUGGAUGUA